CCUGGCGGUCAUAGCGGAGGUGCCCCACCCGAAUCCAUUCCGAACUCGGCAGUGAAACCCUCCAGCGCCGAUGUUACUGCGGGUUUUCCCGUGGGAAAGUAGGUCGCUGCCAGGA
rnacentral:rRNA from 1 species